UACGUAGGGGGCAAGCGUUAUCCGGAUUUACUGGGUGUAAAGGGAGCGUAGACGGCAGAGCAAGUCCGGAGUGAAAGCCCGGGGCCCAACCCCGGGACUGCUCUGGAAACUGUUAAGCUGGAGUGCGGGAGGGGCAGGCGGAAUUCCUGGUGUAGCGGUGAAAUGCGUAGAUAUCAGGAGGAACACCGGCGGCGAAGGCGGCCUGCUGGACCGUGACUGACGUUGAGGCUCGAAAGCGUAGGGAGCAAACAGG
rnacentral:rRNA from 1 species